UUCAGAGGCGUAACAUUCCAGCACACGGGAAGCAUUUCACCAUGUGACAAGCAGUGUGUGUUUCAGAAGCAGCAGCCAAAGGAAAAUGCCUGUGACCCUAUAUCCUGCUCAAGGUGAUUUCCUGUUUGCCCUCCUACUUCACUGGUCCUCCUAGUCCAUGAGGAUUAUAUUUCAGGCGCUUAUUUGUUUUUCAGAUCUUCCUAGGUCUGGAAAUGUCCGGCUUUUCAUUUCUGUAUGCUGUAUUGCUUCCUGUUCUCUCUGAAAAUGAUUGUUUAAAAAUAUUUUUGUACCAUCUUUUUACCUCCUUUACAUCAUGAUGCUGACCCUGAGCAUACUGUCCCAGGACACUCAAUUCUCCAUUUUUUAGUCCCCGUUUGCCAAUCUUGGCAAUUUUAAAAAGGUCCCCGAUUCUACAGGAGAAAGUUCAACGGGACAAUCGUAAUCAUCUUUCUAUGGCACCUGGUGCUGAGUUGGUAGUCCAAGAAUAUUUGUGUCCUUCCUU
rnacentral:lncRNA from 1 species